CAAUAAAAUCAACUCAUUAAACAUUUGAAUCUGCAUUUGUGUACACCACAUGCAUAAUGUUUGAAUAACUGCAAUAGAUAGUAUUAUUUAUUUGUAUUUUAAAAUUGGCAUGUCGAAAAUCCUUUUACGUCAUUGACCCAUAAACAAUUGGUCAAACAAUGUAAAUCUCAUAAAUUUGCACUAUGAAAUAGGGGUUGCACCAACUAGUCGACAUUAAUGCUCUGACGCUACAUUUAAAGCUUCAUGUUGACUAGUCGCGGGUCAUGUGAUUUUUUUGACACUGUACCUUUAAGAAGACGGCAGACCAAGGACCUGCGCGCGGGAUGGAUGUCAUUCCCACCUGGUUCAGCAGGAUUCUGUCACACUCCCAGCAAUAAUAUAUGCAUACCUGUCAACAUUUGUGUACCAAAAUCCGGGAGACCUGCCGGGGGGUGGGUUACUGGUUGGUUGUGCAGGCAAAUAGGUCCCCUCUGUUAUAAAUCGUUUAAAAUCUUUUAACUACUUUAUAUCUAACAUAACAUCAUUUUCAUGUCAAAUUCUUAAAUGUAAAUCUAAGAGACUGUUUAAUGCAGCUCACAGGGCCAUGAAUCCAUGAAUGGUAUAUCUGCAAGGUAUCCUCUUAAUUUAGCAUUUACAUUUUGCCAGAGAUCUCAACGUCAGACAUGAAAUAUCUUGCAUCCCAACCUCGGUUUGAAAAAGCACGAGCAGUUUGUCCCUUCACGCGUCCCGUAGGUCGGUUGUUUUAACUUUGUUUAUUAGUUAGCUGAACGUUUUUUUUUUUAUUCAUAUGGAUAGAUUUAACAGUGUUUGCAUAUUAUUUACAAGAACCGCUUAUGGUCACAGAACAGGAAAUAUUAGAAAUCUAUAUAAGCUGUUUUUAAUCAGAGUUGUCUGCUGAACACAACACUUUUCAUAACACGUUUUUUGUAAAAGCAAAGAAAGUGUAACAACAACAGCUAGUAGACUCUACUGCAUCUAUCUGUAGAUGAAACGAUCUGUCGUCUUCAGUGAGCGGACACAGACUGUGAGGAACGAGCGUUAAAUGGAAAACGCGGAGUGGAUUCUGCGGACCUUUAGCGGUGUAAUAAGAGAAAGUUUUUCGCGGGAAUGUGAAUCCUCUCUCCACUUCGGCUACCGUUCUAUUUCGCCUACCACAGGGCGCCAGCCUGUGAGGGCAAAUGGGCAGCAGCUCAAGCCACAGUGCCACCCCGUGAACACGUUCCGGUUCCCGUCGGUCCACGAGUUUCAAAUGAGAAAUAACUGAAAAACGGGAGGGUGGCGGGAGAUGGGUGUCAAAAACGGGAGUGUUGACAGGUAUGAAUAUAUCUUGUCCUGCUUCCGCACGCAUCAUUCACAAUGUGUCCUGUUUUCGUCCGCAACAUUCACGAUUUGUUCUGACGAUGCUCACAGGUAAAACCUUACGUUUCAGUGCGCUAGCUUCUAAACGCAGAUCUUUUAAUUUUAUAGGCUAUUUUUGUACUUGUUCCCCAUUUAAUAAAGCAUGAAAGAAACAGAAUAAAUAAAAAUGUUCCUCAUAUUGGCUGCUGUGUCACUGAGGCAAUAGCGUCUGGCUGCAGACGAGAUGCGCACUCAGACACAUGCACUCUCAGCCGCACAUGCGCACUCAGACACAUGCACUCUCAGCCGCACAUGCACACUCGGACACAUGCACUCUCAGCCGCAUGCACUCGGACACUGCGCUGUCAGACAGAUGUUUGUUUUAGGUACACGCAUAGGCCACUUGCACAGGCCCCUCGAUGUUGUUAGAGGGAUCCCUUACGAAAAUUGACCAUGGUUUUACUACAGUUAGAACCAAAAAAACAUGGUUACUGUAGUAAAACAAUGGUUAUCACAAAAUAACCAUGGUUUUGAAAACCAUGUUUUUGUAAAAAUCAUAGUGAACGAUGGUAACUGUAGUAAAAUCAUGGUUUUGCCCCAAGUAAUCAAUGCACCAAAAAAACAUGGUUACUACACUUGUACCACAAAAAAAAAACAUGGUUUAUUUUCGUAAGGGAGGGUUCAGCGACUGCUAAAAAAAAUGCUGUUCAGGAAGUUCAGGCUGACUGGAAAGUGCAUAUAAAAAAUGCAAUCAUUAUUCAAGGUAAAGAUUAGUGUAUUUCAAAAUGAUUACAAUGUGUCUGUUGCCGUUCAAGACAUAUUGCACACUUACUGUCGCACACACUAUCAAACUCUCUCAUACACUACUAUAAUAUCUCUCAAGCACUAUCAAACUCAUUCACUAUCAAUCUCUGUUGCACAUAUAACUAAAGUCAUUUAUGCUCACACUACCAAAACCAUAAGCGUAAAAAUGGCAUGUUGUCGUGACAAACUAGGAUGUAUUUUUCCAAUAACAGGAAGAGCCUUAAGUUUCCACGUACAGGUAACUUGAACACAUUACUUUGUAGCAGCUCCUCAGGAAAAGUACCAGUUACUUUUUUAAAAAAUGUAGUACUCAAGGAAACAGGCUCAAACUUCAUAUUUGCUUUUUUAGGUAGAUGAAACCAGUCUUUUCACCCUUGAGUUUCCAGCAGAGAAACAGGUGGUUCAGUCUCCACGAAAAGUGCGUGUCGUGACGGAUCUUAAGACUGCCUGGCAGUGUUGCUUGGAGAACUCUGGGAAUCUUCUUGUCUCACUUCAGCCAUCUCGUAUACUGUGCAUGGAGGAUGAAGAAGCUGC